rnacentral:rRNA from 1 species
GACGAACGCUGGCGGCGCGCCUAACACAUGCAAGUCGAACGAGCGAGAGAGAGCUUGCUUUCUCGAGCGAGUGGCGAACGGGUGAGUAACGCGUGAGGAACCUGCAUCAAAGAGGGGGACAACAGUUGGAAACGACUGCUAAUACCGCAUAAGCCCACAGCUCGGCAUCGAGCAGAGGGAAAAGGAGCAAUCCGCUUUGAGAUGGCCUCGCGUCCGAUUAGCUAGUUGGUGAGGUAAUGGCCCACCAAGGCGACGAUCGGUAGCCGGACUGAGAGGUUGAACGGCCACAUUGGGACUGAGACACGGCCCAGACUCCUACGGGAGGCAGCAGUGGGGAAUAUUGCACAAUGGGGGAAACCCUGAUGCAGCGACGCCGCGUGGAGGAAGAAGGUCUUCGGAUUGUAAACUCCUGUUGUUGAGGAAGAUAAUGACGGUACUCAACAAGGAAGUGACGGCUAACUACGUGCCAGCAGCCGCGGUAAAACGUAGGUCACAAGCGUUGUCCGGAAUUACUGGGUGUAAAGGGAGCGCAGGCGGGAAGGCAAGUUGGAAGUGAAAUCCAUGGGCUCAACCCAUGAACUGCUUUCAAAACUGUUUUUCUUGAGUAGUGCAGAGGUAGGCGGAAUUCCCGGUGUAGCGGUGGAAUGCGUAGAUAUCGGGAGGAACACCAGUGGCGAAGGCGGCCUACUGGGCACCAACUGACGCUGAGGCUCGAAAGUGUGGGUAGCAAACAGGAUUAGAUACCCUGGUAGUCCACACUGUAAACGAUGAUUACUAGGUGUUGGAGGAUUGACCCCUUCAGUGCCGCAGUUAACACAAUAAGUAAUCCACCUGGGGAGUACGACCGCAAGGUUGAAACUCAAAGGAAUUGACGGGGGCCCGCACAAGCAGUGGAGUAUGUGGUUUAAUUCGACGCAACGCGAAGAACCUUACCAAGUCUUGACAUCCUGCGACGGUGCUGGAAACAGUACUUUCCUUCGGGACGCAGAGACAGGUGGUGCAUGGUUGUCGUCAGCUCGUGUCGUGAGAUGUUGGGUUAAGUCCCGCAACGAGCGCAACCCUUAUGGUCAGUUACUACGCAAGAGGACUUUGGCCAGACUGCCGUUGACAAAACGGAGGAAGGUGGGGAUGACGUCAAAUCAUCAUGCCCUUUAUGACUUGGGCUACACACGUACUACAAUGGCGUUAAACAAAGAGAAGCAAGACCGCGAGGUGGAGCAAAACUCAGAAACAACGUCCCAGUUCGGACUGCAGGCUGCAACUCGCCUGCACGAAGUCGGAAUUGCUAGUAAUCGCAGAUCAGCAUGCUGCGGUGAAUACGUUCCCGGGCCU